rnacentral:rRNA from 1 species
GACGAACGCUGGCGGCGUGCUUAACACAUGCAAGUCGAACGGAAAGGCCCCGUUGGGGGUACUCGAGUGGCGAACGGGCGAGUAACACGUGAGUAACCUGCCCUUGACUUCGGGAUAACUUCAGGAAACUGGGGCUAAUACCGGAUAGGAAUCCUUGCUGCAUGGAGGGGGGUGGAAAGCUUCGGCGGUUUUGGGUGGACUCGCGGCUUAUCAGCUUGUUGGUGGGGUUGUGGCUUACCAAGGCUUUGACGGGUAGGCGGCCUGAGGGGGCGAACGGCCACAUUGGGACUGAGAUACGGCCCAGGCUCCUACGGGGGGCAGCAGUGGGGAAUAAUGCACCAUGGGCGGGAGCCUGAUGCAGGCACGCCGCGUGCGGGAUGACGGCCUUCGGGUUGUAAACCGCUUUCAGCAGGGGCGAAGCUUGUGGUGACGGUACCUGCAGAAGAAGCACCGGCUAACUACGUG